CCUACGGGUGGCAGCAGUGAGGAAUAUUGGUCAAUGGACGCAAGUCUGAACCAGCCAUGCCGCGUGCAGGAAGACGGCUCUAUGAGUUGUAAACUGCUUUUGUACGAGGGUAAACGCAGAUACGCGUAGCUGUCUGAAAGGAUCGUACGAAUAAGGAUCGGCUAACUCCGUGCCAGCAGCGGCGGUAAGACGGAGGAUGCAAGCGUUAGCCGGAUUUAUUGGGGUGAAAGGGUGCGUAGGCGGUCGGAUAAGUGAGAGGUGAAAUCCCGAGGCUCAACUUCGGAAUUGCCUCUGAUACUGUUCGGCUAGAGCGUAGUUGCGGUAGGCGGAAUG
rnacentral:rRNA from 1 species